UACGAAGGGGGCUAGCGUUGCUCGGAAUCACUGGGCGUAAAGCGCACGUAGGCGGAUUGUUAAGUCAGGGGUGAAAUCCUGGAGCUCAACUCCAGAACUGCCUUUGAUACUGAGGAUCUUGAGUACGGGAGAGGUGAGUGGAACUGCGAGUGUAGAGGUGAAAUUCGUAGAUAUUCGCAAGAACACCAGUGGCGAAGGCGGCUCACUGGCCCGUAACUGACGCUGAGGCACGAAAGCGUGGGGAGCAAACAGGG
rnacentral:rRNA from 1 species